rnacentral:lncRNA from 1 species
GCUGAAGUCCAAUCAACUUGAAACUAAUACACAUGUUCCCCAUGAUAUAAUCUUUCUAAUUUUAAUGCCAAAUUAUAGUUUUGACCCCAAUUUCAUGGUCCACUGAACAUAGAAAAUAAUAGUGCAAAGUUCAGGUUAAAGUUUUUGGUCAAGGUAGUUUUUGAUGAAGUUAAAGUUACAUCAACUUGAAACUUAGUACACAUGUUCCCUAUGAUAUGAUCUUUCUAAUUUUAAUUUCAAAUUAAAGUUUUGACCCCAAUUUCAUGGUCCACUGAACAUAGAAAAUGAUAGUGGUAGUGGGGCAUCCGUGUACUAUGGAC